rnacentral:lncRNA from 1 species
GAAGGAUUCUAACAGUCUAGCAAACAUUGAGAUGACUAAGAACUAACAACCAGAGUCCUGUUACUGCAGUGAGGUUAAGGCUAGUUCUGAGCUCCACGUUUCCUGGUGCUGGAAUCCUCCCUUACCUAGCUAGUGUCACUACUGGAAGAGAGAUGCUUCAUUCCUAUUCCUCUACCCACCCAACAGAUACUGUGAGGUCUUACCUUGGUGAUUCCAGAAUUCUAAAAUAAAUGGAAAGAGCCUCAACUAUCAAACUGACAAUGCAAUAGUUUUCUGAAAUGCUGAAAGAAAAGAAAGGCUUGGAUCAUGAAGAACUCAAAAGUAGGACUGAAAUUUUUUCUCCAAGUAGCAAGUCCUUGAUGAAAGACUUGAUUGGCUCAGCUUUAACCAGAGGCCAUUCCCAGGACCAUUCAAAAAACCAGAGGUGGGGCCAGAUACAGCCACUGGGCAGCUAUUUGAAGACAUAAUUGGAUUUGAGUCUCAUCCAAAGAGUCAGAAAGACUCUUACGGGAAACAGCAGGAGUGUCACGUGAAUACAAGCUUACAAAUGACAACAGCAUUACAGUGGACUCUGGAAUUUUGCCGAGCACUAAGUUGUAUCUGCUGGUAUGUUUUACAAGUAUAGGUCAGUCUUCUCAUGACAAACAACCAACAAUUAUCCUAGACAUCUGGGGAAAUGUCUUUGGGAGGGGCCCACUGUUCUCAUAAAAUGUUCACAUCCAUGACUUCCGUAUUCUGUAUUCAGUUUCCAUCCUAAUCAAUACAUAUGCUUUGCUAGACUGAAUGGUUUAUUAGAGAACCACCAUGGGAUCCACUGUGGAACAGCACAUUUGCUCUAGUUUAUGUCAUCUAGAGAGGUUGUAAAUGGCCUCAGAACACCGCUGCUUUUUCUCUUUGAUACAGUUAAAUCCCUCCUUGUUCCUUGAGUUAAAAUUCAAAGAAAGCUACCCCGACUGACUGAUGUAAGUGGUGUCUGAGGUCAAACAAAGUCAAACAACUUGUUUAGAAUAGACUUCUAAUUAAUCUGGGCCUUAGGAGUGUAACCUUUAUAACUUGACUUCAGAAUCAACGCCUUUUAUAAUACCAGGUGUUCUCCAAACAGUCAAAUGUCAGUUGUCUUACUAUGUGAUCAUAGGGCUCAUAAGGCCCUGGCUGUGCCUUCAUAGACUUUGCAUCAUGCUUACGUCAUCAUUCUUUCUAUCCGUUAUGGUCUCUCAUUAGAUGGUAGUUCCACCCAUUUCUUGGUCAGUUUGGGUUUUUUCCGCUAACCACCAGAGUUUCAUCUUUCUUAGGUUAAUGUCAGGUUUGGGGUGGAUGUACAAUAAGGCAUAGUCAGAUGGACAUAAAUGAAAAGUACUUGCACAAACAACAUAUAUUUAUUAAGCUCUGUAUAGUUAGCUUUUAAACAUAUCUAAGAAAGAAAGAAAUAAUUAACCCAGAAAAAAGGCAUCCUUAGCCUGAGUUAAUUUUCAAAAUUUCAGAUCUUCCAUUUUUUAUAUGGGUUUCUAAAAUUGAGUUUAAAUGGAUAGUUCUGUGUAUCUGCAGGGCUUUUCUCUCUUAAGAGACAAAUUUUCCUUGAUUUUUCUCUUUUUUAGUUUAUUUGAAAAGACUAGCUUUUGUCUCUACACUUUUAAAAACUACAGAAAUUCUUUCAUAUUUUGAGUAAAUUGUGAUCACUGGUUUGCUCCAUAUAGUAAAUGUAACAGAAAAGAUGAAAAUAAUGCUGAAAUUUCUUGUGUUGUUUUCCUUCCCACUUUUUAAAAGAAAAGUUAUGCUUUUAAAAGUUAUGCUUACAAGGAACCUUGCAGGCCCAACUCCAUAAGAUCGAACACACUAAUUGCUCAAUCAAUGUUGAGUGAUGGAAUAGUGGGGGCUAGAGCAAAAAGGGAAAAAAAAAUCUAAAUAGCUUGAAUUGGGU